rnacentral:rRNA from 1 species
AUUGAACGCUGGCGGCAGGCCUAACACAUGCAAGUCGAACGGUAGCACAGAGAGCUUGCUCUCGGGUGACGAGUGGCGGACGGGUGAGUAAUGUCUGGGAAACUGCCCGAUGGAGGGGGAUAACUACUGGAAACGGUAGCUAAUACCGCAUAACGUCGCAAGACCAAAGUGGGGGACCUUCGGGCCUCACACCAUCGGAUGUGCCCAGAUGGGAUUAGCUAGUAGGUGGGGUAAUGGCUCACCUAGGCGACGAUCCCUAGCUGGUCUGAGAGGAUGACCAGCCACACUGGAACUGAGACACGGUCCAGGCUCCUACGGGAGGCAGCAGUGGAGAAUAUUGCACAAUGGGCGCAAGCCUGAUGCAGCCAUGCCGCGUGUAUGAAGAAGGCCUUCGGGUUGUAAAGUACUUUCAGCGGGGAGGAAGGCGGUGAAGUUAAUAACUUCACCGAUUGACGUUACCCGCAGAAGAAGCACCGGCUAACUCCGUGCCAGCCGCCGCAGUAA